UCCGACGGGAGGCAGCAGUGGGGAAUUUUGGACAAUGGGCGAAAGCCUGAUCCAGCAAUGCCGCGUGUGUGAAGAAGGCCUUCGGGUUGUAAAGCACUUUUGUUCGGGAAGAAAAGGAGCGGGCUAAUAUCCUGCUCUGAUGACGGUACCGGAAGAAUAAGCACCGGCUAACUACGUGCCAGCAGCCGCGGUAAUACGUAGGGUGCAAGCGUUAAUCGGAAUUACUGGGCGUAAAGCGUGCGCAGGCGGUUGGUUAAGACAGAUGUGAAAUCCCCGGGCUCAACCUGGGAACUGCAUUUGUGACUGGCAAGCUAGAGUCUGGCAGAGGGGGGUGGAAUUCCGCGUGUAGCAGUGAAAUGCGUAGAUAUGCGGAGGAACACCGAUGGCGAAGGCAGCCCCCUGGGCCAACACUGACGCUCAUGCACGAAAGCGUGGGGAGCAAACAGGAUUAGAUACCCUGGUAGUCCACGCCCUAAACGAUGUCAACUAGUUGUUGGGGAUUCAUUUCCUUAGUAACGUAGCUAACGCGUGAAGUUGACCGCCUGGGGAGUACGGUCGCAAGAUUAAAACUCAAAUGAAUUGACGGCA
rnacentral:rRNA from 1 species